rnacentral:rRNA from 1 species
ACGUCAAGUCCUCAUGGCCUUUAUGACCAGGGCUACACACGUACUACAAUGGCCGGUACAAAGGGCAGCCACUUAGCGAUAAGGAGCCAAUCCCGUAAAGCCGGUCUCAGUCCGGACUUGGGAGUCUGCAACUCGACUCCAUGAAGUUGGAAUCGCUAGUAAUCGCAGAUCAGCACGCUGCGGUGAAUACGUUCCCGGGCCUU